GCAAAGCCACUAGAAUUGCUCCAAGAACAUCGACAUUUUGCCAAUAAGAAUAAAGAUCAGGAAAGAAUCUGCAAUGCUAAUGACUAUCAGUCCUAUUAAUGCGAGGUGUCCUUUGCCUCAUGUUCUUGAAGAACAGCCCUUCAUUCCGAUCUUUCUCCAUUUGGCCUUCAAACUCUGCGACCUCAUUUUCAAUCUUUCUCCAUUUGAAUCAUCAUUGGGCUUGCAUAGGCACACGAAAGAAAUCUUUGCGUUGAGGUGUCUUUUUGUGUGGAAAAUUCCAUGUUUGGUUGUAGUGAAAGAUGUUUGAAUGGUUUUGAUGGCUACCAUCUUU